GAAAUGAGGGAGAAGGUGGAUGAGGGGCUCCUUCCUUUUGUCCUCAGAUGACCCAAGCCAAGUGCAGAAGGCGAGCCUCCUCCCAAAGCUCGGCUAGUCCCUCCACCAAAGCCAGGAUCAGAGCCCACACCUGCCUGGCCAACCCCUGGCACUGAUGAUGCCUGGGUGCGGGUUAAGCUGGGAGGAGCUCCUGCCUGCCUGGAUGAAGAGGAGGUCAAGACUUUGUCCCCCACUCCGCAAGAUACCCUCUCUGUUCCGGAGCGGUGAGACAGGAUUUCACCAUGUUAGCCAGGAUGGUCUUGAUCUCCUGACCUCAUGAUCUGCCCACCUCGGCCUCCCAAAGUGCUGGGCUUACAGGCGUGAGCCACCGUGCCCGGCCAAAAAUAACUUUUAAAAACAUGAGUAUAGCAUACACACACACAAAAGUCCACAAAUCCUAGGUGUACCACUUGAUGAAUGAUCCCAACGUGAGCACACCUCUGGAUUACCACCUGGAUCAAGAAAUAGGACAUCACAGCAGCUGGCAGCUUCCAAGGAGAAGCUCUGGAAAGUUCUGCCUGUCUCAGCACCUGGCUGGAUCGGAAACGAGUUUUCUUUAACCAGAUUUUUAAUGACUGACUUAUGUGGACAAAUCAUAACUGAAUGAAUCACCUCCUUUGUUGAUUUUUUUGGGUACUUUAUUUGCUAUUAUAAAUGAUGCUGUAAUAAGCACCCUUGAAGAAAUCUUCAUAUCUGCCUCUCCUGUGUAGCAGGUCACAGUGCCUGGGUUUGGUUCUAGCCCUCAUUUGUGAACUGUGUGACUCACCAUGCCUUUUUUCUUUCUGUAAGACAGGAAUAAUGGUAAGAAUUUAAAUGGGGGUAAUAUGGAGCGCGUUUAGUUCAGAGCCUGGUGCAUACAAGCACUCAAUAAGUACUGGCGAUUAUUAGACCUUUAGAUUAAUUUAUUAGAAGUUGGAUUUCUGGUGAAAGGGUUUGAGUGUUUUUGAGGCUUUGGCACAGAAUACCCAGCUGGUCCCAGAAAGGUGGUUCCCAUUUACCUGCCCGAAGGUAAUUCACCCUUACUGAUACUGAGUACUGUUUUCUAAAAGAACAUUAAAAAUUGGAUAGGUUAAAAACAGGUGAAUACAUUUUUUUAGUUGCAUUUUUUUGGUUACCCGUGAGAGUGAACAUGUUGCCAUGUGUUUGCUGACCUCCUAAAUGGUCUAUUUGCUCCUACCUUUGUACCCCAAAAGUCUGCUCUCAAGAUGGUAGCCAGAAUGAUCCUUUUUGAGACAUAAGUCAAAAUUUCACUCUUCUCCUUAAAGCUCUGCAAUGGUUCUCAGGUUAAAAGCCAAAGUCCUGUUCAAGGCCUCCAGGGUCCUCACCACUUGGUCCCUUGCUCUUUCUGUUCUAGCCAACUUGGCCUUCUCCUGCCCCUCCGCCGCACCAUGGCAAUUUCCCCUGCUCUGUGUGGUCAACUACCUGAAUCUGUUCAAAGCUUUGCUCAAAUGUCUCCUUCCUGAUGAGACCUCCCCAGCCCCUGAGCUCCCCAUGCCUCACUCCUGAUCGCCUUACUUAACCCUUCUUUUUCUUUUUUGCCAGUAGUACUUAUCACCGUCUAAAAUACUUCAUAAUUUACUUGUUUAUUGUUUGCCCCUCUCCAAUAGAAUGUAAGCUCCUUGGGGCAGGGACCUUUGUCCUUUGUCUUGUUCACUGCUGUGUCCCAUGUGUAAACUUGUCUGGCACAGAAGAGGUGCUCGAUAAAUAUUUGUUGAGUGAAUGAAUGGUAAAUUUUCUGUUCAUAUUCUUUGACUAUUUUCUAUUGUAAUGUUCAUCUUUUUAGUAUUGGUUUAUAAGAUGUAUAUUUAGCACCUUUUCAUAUAUCACUCUUUGUCACAUAUUAUGCAACUAAUUUGUCAUUUCCAUCAAUUUUUAAAAUACUUUCUUGAUGCUUCAUUUUUAAGCUGUCAGAUUAUUAAUCUUUUCUUUAUGGUCUUGGACUUUAUUGUUGCAUAACCGCUGCCUUCACCAGGAACAUAUAAAUUUUCAAUUAAAUGUUCUUCUGAGAUUUUAUGAUUUCACUUUUUAUAUUAAACUCUUCAUUUUGUCUUCAUGUGUGGUGAGAGGUAAGAACAUAACUUUAAAGCAAAUUAACCAACUAUCCCCAAAUGAAUUAUAAAUAAAUUAAUCAUUUUCCAAU
rnacentral:lncRNA from 1 species